UACGUAGGGGGCGAGCGUUGUCCGAAGUUACUGGGCGUAAAGCGUGCGUAGGCGGUCUUGUUAGUCAGGUGUGAAAGCCCUCAGCCCAACUGAGGAAUUGCGCUUGAUACUGCAUGACUUGAGAAUGAUAGAGGUGGGUGGAACUGAUGGUGGAGCGGUGAAAUGCGUUGAUAUCAUCAGGAACACCAGUGGCGAAGGCGACCCACUGGGUCAUUUCUGACGCUGAGGUACGAAAGCUAGGGUAGCGAACGGGAUUAGAUACCCUAGUAGU
rnacentral:rRNA from 1 species